AUCCAUCUGACGAGUCUCAAAUAGGACGAAAGGACAUCCUGAAU
rnacentral:hammerhead_ribozyme from 1 species